GCUACGGGAGGCAGCAGUGGGGAAUAUUGCACAAUGGGGGAAACACUGAUGCAGCGACGCCGCGUGAGUGAAGAAGUAUUUCGGUAUGUAAAGCUCUAUCAGCCGGGAAGAAAAUGACGGUACCUGACUAAGAAGCCGCGUCUAUCUACGUGCCAGCUGCCGCGGUAAGACGUAGGGGGCAAGCGUUAUCCGGAUUUAAGGGGCGUAAAGGGAGCGUAGACGGAGUAACAAGUCCGAAGUGAAAACACGGAGCUUAACCCUGGGAUUGCUUUGGAAACUGUUUGGCUGGAGUGCAGGAGUGGUAAGCGGAAUUCCUAGUGUAGCGGUGAAAUGCGGAGAUAUUAGGAGGAACACCGGUGGCGAAGGCGGCUUACUGGACUGUAACUGACGUUGAGGCUCGAAAGCGUGGGGAGCAAACAGGAUUAGAUACCCCUGUAGUC
rnacentral:rRNA from 1 species